rnacentral:rRNA from 1 species
AGUUGCAGGGUAUAGACCCGAAACCCGGUGAUCUAUCCAUGGGCAGGUUGAAGGUUGGGUAACACUAACUGGAGGACCGAACCGACUAAUGUUGAAAAAUUAGCGGAUGACUUGUGGAUGGGGGUGAAAGGCCAAUCAAACCGGGAGAUACUGGUUCUCCCCGAAAGCUAUUUAGGUAGCGCCUCGUGAACUCAUCUUCGGGGGUAGAGCACUGUUUCGACUAGGGGGUCAUCCCGACUUACCAACUCGAUGCAAACUGCGAAUACCGAAGAAUGUUAUCACGGGAGACACACGGCGGGUGCUAACGUCCGUCGUGAAGAGGGAAACAACCCAGACCGCCAGCUAAGGUCCCAAAGUCAUGGUUAAGUGGGAAACGAAGUGGGAAGGCUCAGACAGCCAGGAUGUUGGCUUAGAAGCAGCCAUCAUUUAAAGAAAGCGUAAUAGCUCACUGGUCGAGUCGGCCGCGCGGAAGAUGUAA